rnacentral:lncRNA from 1 species
CGGUGAUAAAAAAAAAAAAGGGAGAGAAAUGAUAAAAGAAAUGUUUUGUAUUUUUUUGGGGGGGGUGGGGAAAGGGGGAGGGGGUGUCUCGAGUGUUUUUCCCCUUCAGGGAAGCAGCAAAACGCAGGGAAAAAAGGCAAAAAAACGGUGAGAAAAAGCCGAGGAAAGGGAAAAAAAAGAGAGGAUUUAACCAAAAAAGGCCAGUCUGCACUCAAAACGCGCUCAGGAGAUUCCGACAGGGAUUUGAGGAGAAAACCCCCAGAGCUGGGGAAUGCAGAGAACCGCAAGUGAGAGGAGGCAGCAGCAGCUUUGGCUGCUUUCCCCCCCCCCCCCAAAAAAACCCCAAAAUUGCUAAAAUUGCUUCAGAAUGCGCUGCUCGUAGGGCCCGCCCCCAAGCUGGGAAUUGAAACAAAACCCAGGGUUUU